rnacentral:rRNA from 1 species
GCACAAGCGGUGGAGCAUGUGGUUUAAUUCGAAGCAACGCGAAGAACCUUACCAGGUCUUGACAUCCCGCUGCCCGCCUUGGAGACAAGGCUUUCCCUUCGGGGACAGCGGUGACAGGUGGUGCAUGGUUGUCGUCAGCUCGUGUCGUGAGAUGUUGGGUUAAGUCCCGCAACGAGCGCAACCCUUGAUCUUAGUUGCCAGCAUUCAGUUGGGCACUCUAAGGUGACUGCCGGUGACAAACCGGAGGAAGGUGGGGAUGACGUCAAAUCAUCAUGCCCCUUAUGACCUGGGCUACACACGUGCUACAAUGGACGGUACAAAGGGCUGCCAACCCGCGAGGGGGAGCCAAUCCCAGAAAACCGUUCUCAGUUCGGAUUGCAGGCUGCAACUCGCCUGCAUGAAGCCGGAAUCGCUAGUAAUCGUGGAUCAGCAUGCCACGGUGAAUACGUUCCCGGGC